rnacentral:rRNA from 1 species
GACAGGGGGCUCGAGCGUUAAUCGGAAUCACUGGGCUUAAAGGGUGCGUAGGCGGGCCAGUAAGCGUCUUGUGAAAUCCCCCGGCUCAACCGGGGAACUGCGGGGCGAACUGCUGGUCUUGAGGAAGCUAGAGGCCGGUAGAACGAUUGGUGGAGCGGUGGAAUGCGUAGAUAUCAGGAAGAACACCAAUGGCGAAGGCAGCUCUCUGGGACGGUACUGACGCUGAGACGCGAAAGCGUGGGGAGCGAACAGG